rnacentral:lncRNA from 1 species
GGUACUAGAGUGUACUAUGGUAUUUAUACGCACACAGAUAAUCCGCAAGCGCACGGAUACCGUUGAAGCUUUUACCCGGUUAAAGGUUUUAUCGUAUCCACAGGGAAACGGGAGAACCAACUACGCUCUAACUUAACCAAGAUAAGUAAAUAGGUGUAAAUAGGAAAGAUGGUAGAAUCGAAUAAGAACAACAUUAAAGGUAAGAUAACAGUGAGUGAUAAUAUGGGAAUAGAGAGUAGAGCAAUCUAGUAUAUGGGCGAUGGUAGCAGAAUAGAGAGGAUAACUAUGGUUUCUCUACUUCAAAGGGGUAUGUCUAUGUCUGGGACGAACCACGUGAUAAGAUUACACCACAAAGGAUGCUUAUCCAUAGGCCGAUAAACCCUACCCGUCCUGCUAACGAGAGGUGGACUACAGAGGACCAACGUAACUGUCACCUACGCGGCCUACCACACGAUCCAGCUAGACAGGGGAUAUCCACAAGUAAUCUAGGUCUAAGCACCACACUUACACCUAUACUACAAAUCUCACCUAUAGCGUCCUAUAGAUUAAAGUACUCAAAAGAGUUGUGAACCAGAACAUACAUGAUUAGUAAUUGCAUAAUGAAUUAGAAGUAGAUUACCAGAGUCAUCCCAUGAGCAAGCUUGAUUAGAGUUUGAUCAUGACGAAGUACAACCGGAGGAAGAACCGACAGGCCGGCCUCUCCUCUAAUCCUCCUUCGCUCUCCAUCUCGCUACUAUCUAGAUCUACUCUAGUUUAGAGAAGAGAGGAGAGCUCUCAUCUCUAAACCCUAGCUUUUGCUCUGUCUAUGAAUAAUGAUCAAGGGGUGCCUCCUCCAGGGGCUAGGGGGUCUGGUUUUAUAGUCCCCUCAAGUGAACCUGGGCCGUCAGAUCAAACCGACAUAGAUUGAACGGUUAUCCUUGAUCCUUUAGCUCGGUGGAGAUCUCCCGAGAAACAGAGUCCUGAUUGGACUCCAAGUCAGGGCGGGCGCCCAGGGCAGGAGGGCGGGCGCCCUGCCUCAGGCCCCGUUCGGCCUCCGCUUUCUUCCCGUGGCUUCUGGAGUCUUCUAGAUGUAAGAUAAUUGCGCGGCACGUUAAUAUCUUUAUGUAAUCCUGACGUGUGGGCCUUUCUUCCAUAUUUCCUGAUAACCCCCUGCAGAAAUAGACAAACACCAAAACUCGUGGAAUUCUGUCAGAUAAAACCCUAAGUCUAGAUGUUGAUUUCAUUUGGAUCCUUUUCUUUGUUUAUUUGAUAAUUAAAUUUGAUACUUAAGGACCGUCAACAAACUCCCCCAAGCUUAACUCUUGCUCGUCCCUGAGCAAGGAUAAUCUCAGCGAUGGAUCAGAAGUUGUUGCAAUAUCUUAAAAAUUUGACGGUACACAUGCUUUUAAAUAAGAUCUCAUCUCUGAGUUAGAGUAAACUGUCAAGAACUAAAACUUACUUACUUUACCUUUCACCAUGGGACUUGUAACCGUCACUUCUGUCUUGAGUAGUUAAAAGAUAGAACAGUCUAGCCAAGUGCCAUGUCUCUUAUUCUUGAUUAGCUAUAGCUCUGGAGUUUUUGCAGAUUUUCAAAUAAAACUCAGAGAUUCCUUGUAUGACUCUCUAAAUCUCUCUUUUGUGGUAUUUCUGGAUCCUUACCAAGGCAGUGAUAGUAUAUGCCUUCUCUCAAGAUAUGUGGUAUUUGUGGUAUAAGGCAUAGUGACAUUGCCUUCUCUCUCACCCUACUCUAAUAAGGCUUUAAUAUCUGGAGCUCAUAGGUGGGAGAUAAAAUAUACAUACUUACAAGACAUUUAUUGUAUAGUCAAACCAUGGAUCCAAAGAAACAAAUCAUUAAGCCAAAUCAAGAUGUGCAUGUGUGGCGAUUGAAUGGUGUAUGGUGAUGAUGGUGGUAAUGGUGGAAGUCUAAUUCUACCUUGCUCUUUCAAGGGGAUACAUACCUUUCUUGCUUUUUGAAACUUUGUGAGGAGAAUGAGAUGCUCUUCUUUUUCAUUUCUCUUAGAUGGGUAUCUUGUACCUCUAAUUCUACUGUCGGACACUUGUCCAUUUUUACCUCUCGUCUCACUUUUCCUUUCCUUUCGAGGUUCCGAGCACUUGUCCCUUUUUAUUUCCUCGUAUCUUUCUUUUUUUUCUUUUUUUUUUCAAAGCACUCAUCUCUUGAGAUAAUAUAGCAAGUGGUAGUAACAAGAUAACUUGAGCAUUUAUUUCAUAGGGAAAAACAUAGAUGUUUUUGGCUAUUCUCUCCCGAAUUAGGAGUAGAAUAUUUUUUAGGUGAUUCUGGAGAUGGAAAUGGAUGGAUAUAUGUGGAUGGUACUUCCGGAGUAGAAGUAGCAUAUAUGAGUGAACGUGCAAGUGAAUCUUGAUUUAACCACAUGACAAGCUCCUAAGGGUCUACACAGCUUGACCGCACUCAAUGCUCAUAAGCAGUAAAUAGUAAAUGUGUGGCUCAAAGUCUAGCAAGCAUGUAUAUAUGGCUGUGGUAGGAAUUUAAACUCUCAUCAUACAGGAACUCAUCAUGCAAUAUUUUAAAGAUUUUUCAAAGAUAAAAUUCUCUAGAAUUCUAGCAUCUCUAGGAACAGAUAAACAGCAGCUCAACCUUCCCAUAUCAUAUUCGUUAACAACUUAGACUUCAGAUCAAGUUUUCAUCCCACAAGUUUAGGUCUAGAGCAAGCUUUAAAUUAUAACAGUUAUGUCUAAACUUGAGAGAGAACUUCAAAUUUUAAAAUUUAGGCAGAGCAACUAUUCAUCAUAUCCAUGCUAGAGUUUUAUUAUUAAGAUUCAGAUUAGCAUAGCCACUUUAUUUAUUUAUUAAACAUACUAAGCAAAAGAUAUAUAUAUAUAUAUAUAUAAACACAAAAUCUUUAUUUAGUUUUUCAUAGUUAUGUAUAUCUAUAUUUUAAUACAGUAUAAGUGUAAAGAUAGAUAGAUAGAAAUACUUAUCGGGAUAAAUGGGGGUGCUCUCCCCCAAGCUGAAUUUUGACGUAAUUUCCCUUGAUGUAGCUAGCAGGUGGCAGAGGUGUAUUUGAGAGUCAGCAGCAUUCUGACAGCGAUUAGAAUGUCCUCCGUCUGCUAGUCUUCUUAAAUCUUGUGGAGCUCAAAUAGACAACAAAGCUUGUGAAACUGAUUAAGUGUUAGCAUAAAUAUCUAGCCUUUAUCAUGUUGAGACUCCUUAACAAUUAUUACUCUCUAUUUUUUUAUAUUUUCGUUUUAUAAAGCAGAAAAGAAAUAUUUAUUUUAUUUUUAUGCCACCACAGUGAAGGUACCUAUGGGUUUUAUGCCACGAGCAUACUCAUAUGGGGCUUACUAACAUUUUUAUUUUCUUUCAAGAUAGCAUGAUUAACUAAUAAGCUAUUUAAGGAAAGUAGGUAAUUAAAGGGAAAAGGGAAUGCAGAAAGGAUAAAUAUGGAUAACUACUGAUUUUACCUUUCGGCGAGGGUUCAACGUUUUAAGUCUUCUGAACAAGACUUCUCACCGUGUUCAUUCUUCAGGUGCGUCAUUUGAUUCAGGUGCGGACCUUGACGUCUGCACCUCUUGGUACGGUGUCACCCAUGUUCUUCGUUUGCCCAGCAGUUCGAAGUGCGGCGUUGGCAGCAUCCUGCUUAGUGUGUUUGUGCUCGUAGUGUACCUGCUCAUAGAGACAAGGCAGAGAUCAAGUGCAUGGGCCCUGUUGGUGGAAAACACCAACAGAACCAAAAGUGUAUUUGUUCUUCUCUAACCUUAAGCAUGGUGAGCAAGACAAAGUUGAUGAAUGAUAAGUCCAUGAGUGUAGCAUUUAUAACAUUUGUCAGAUCAGAUCGCUUCAACCUUAUGGAAAGAUAAUCUAUCUAUGUAUAUGUCUUUUUCUUUAUAUCUCUCAAAGAUUGAAUGUGUAACAUUUUAGCUCAUAUGAUUAGGAGUGUGGGUUCAUGGAGGUAGUACUAGGAACAAGGAUUAAAGGACUAAACAUGCUGAAUCAGUUGGGUUAGUUAAUUUGGAGUUAUAAAUCAUACAUGUUUGUCUCUUUAUUUAUGUGAACGCUAGAACCAAGGAGAAGCUUAUAAAAGUGAUAGUCACAUAUCUUAAGAUGUUACCUUAAUUGAAGAGUGAUGGUACCAUCUCACCUUGUGGAAGCUUCCCAUUCGUAGUGGUUGUGUAUCUUGUUUAUGUACUUUGUCUCCUUCCAUGGAUCAUCGCUCUAUGAUGAAUGAGCUAUGUCCUUCUUGUGCAAAUUGUUAAACUUCAUGUGUCACUCUCUUCAUCUCUGAUGUGAGUUUAUCUCAGGACUUCCCAGGUUGAUAGUGAAAGUUUUCCUGCAGGGGUUAGUCCGACAAAAUAUACCAAUAUCUACUCAAGCAAUUUUUAGUUCAGUAACCAAACUAGACUCCAUGUCUAAUCACAUUAAGGAAGGCUAUUUAACCUAAGCACCAUGCUUAAUUUAAAUGCCAAUGGAAGUAUGGCGAGUACUUCCAAACCAACACUUGCUAGUAAAUAGACAAAGGUAGCAUGACAGCAUUUAUAGUGAUCUACUCAAGUGGAGAUGAAGUAGUGUGAUUAGUAUUUAACAAAUUGAGCAUGUCUCAAAGGUAGGGACAACCAUCACGGCAAAGGAUGUUUUUAUGUAAAGUACUCCCCCAAGCUUGAAUUUUGCAAAAUUCAAGUUUGGAUGAAUUUAAUUCAAUGUUGUAUGAUGAUUGGUUGGACAUACCUUGUGCUUGUCAUUCAUCCGAUCUUCUUGCUCUAAUCCUAGAAAGGUUAGUGAUAAGAAAACCCAAAGGAAUUUUUUUUACAAUUAUCCUUAUAUGCUCAAUACACCAGGUAAUGUUGUAAAUAAUUAAAAGCUCAUGUUAUGAUCUGAUCAGUGCUUAUUUUAAGACACUAAGCUUGUCCUUGGGAAACCAUCAAUUUAUGUCGGCGAAGUGGUUUCCCUUCCAACACUGAUCUAUAUCAAGAUCAACUCAACGAGAUCUGCAAUAUUUAUUAUAGACAUAUGCAUCGACAACCGCCCUUUUAAAGUUUUUGUAAAUAGAAAGGAAGAGGGGGUUGGAGAUCUCAAAUGUGGUAAUGUUGGAGAGACCAAUAGAUUGGGAAGAUGUUUCAUAUGAGCAUAGAGUAAAUGAAGUGGUUAUGAAAUAAAUUCUAUGCUCAUUAAUGUUAUCUUCGUCUCCAAUCUGAAUGUUCGGAGUUUCUCCUAGAUUGGUCUCACCUAUGUCCUCUUCUGUAGUUGGAUGAAUCCCAUCUUCAAAGGGAGUCAAGAACUCACCAUUUGAAAUUGAACCAAAGUCAGAAUUCAUUAAGGCUUCUACCUUAUCCAUCCAUUCUACACAUUCUAGCCAUUUAGAACUUGUGAUCAGGAAAGGGGAGGUGUUAGAAUUUUCAAUAUGGCUUAGCUCUCCUUCACUUGAUAUGUCAUCCUCGACUUCUUCAUAACAGGAACCAGGACAUUCUCUAAGAGAACCAUUAUUGCGAGGAUUUGAAUUAUCCCUGCUUGAAGGUCUCUUAUGGAACCAGAAGUCUAAACCAUCAGCAUCUGAAAGAUUUAAGGUCGGAAUUCCUUCCUCCCUUGGAGAAUUUUGGGGUAUUGAUGGUUUAGGAUUGAUAGCUAAAGUUUGGAAUUGAAGUGGUUGUGAUCUGGCUAUCGAAACUUCUUCUUCUUGUCUAGGAACUAGUUCUGUCUCUUUCUCAGGGAUAUAAAAGCUAGGAGACUUUCCACUUAAUAAAUCAAUCAAAUUCCAAGCUUCCUAGCAGGUAGGUGAUAGAAGGAUCCUCUAGAGGCUGUAUUCAAGGUUUGCUUAUUUUCCCUACUAAGGCCCUCAAAAAAGUGAAUUAAAAGAACUUCUGGAAUAGAAAGCUUUGGGCCAGUGAGAGUAAGGUUAAUGAAGCAGUCCCAUGAUUUGCUAAGAGUUUCUUCUUCCAAUUGUCUAAAAGAAAUAAUCUCACGCCGAAGUUCCGCCACUUUAGAGAUUGGAAAAUAUUUUAAAAGAAAACUAUUAUGUAACUCCUUCCAAUCUCCAUGAACACUCCCUACUUUGAGUUUAUACCAAUGUCUAGCUUUUCCUGUUAAAGAGAACGGAAAGAGCUUCCAUUUAAGGGUCUCAUCGGACAUGCCUUCUAUGCGAAGGAGGUCACAGACUCUAUAAAACUCUCUUAGGUGUGUGUAUGGGCUUUCCUCACCUUCUCCUGAGAAAGGUUGUUUUUGAACAAAUUCUAUGUAUUCAGGGUCUAUCUCAAAGCUAGAUGCUAUGAUAGGCUUUGAAGAUUUUGGUGGUUCGAGAUGUGUGCCCGUAGGUCUAUGAAAUUCAUAGAUAGACAUGUUUGAAUUCAUGAUAGACCAGAGAUCAAGGAUUAGAUAAGAAGAAAGAUUAGCAGAGAUGAGGCAAAGGAUAAAAGGAAUAUAUAUAUAUAUAUAUAUAUAUAUAUAUAUAUAUAUAGAAAAUGAUUAAGCUAGUUCGUAGUCAACUCAGCAACCGUUUCCCCGGCAACGGCGCCAAAAAUUCUUGAUGACACUUGCUAACACCACUUGAAUACUAGGUUGUCAUCUCCAGCAUGGUACUAGAGUGUACUAUGGUAUUUAUACGCACACAGAUAAUCCGCAAGCGCACGGAUACCGUUGAAGCUGUUACCCGGUUAAAGGUUUUAUCUUAUCCACAGGGAAACGGGAGAACCAACUACGCUCUAACUUAACUAAGAUAAGUAAAUAGGUGUAAAUAGGAAAGAUGGUAGAAUCGAAUAAGAACAAUAUUAAAGGUAAGAUAACAGUGAGUGAUAAUAUGGGAAUAGAGAGUAGAGCAAUCUAGUAUAUGGGCGAUGGUAGCAGAAUAGAG